AAGGUUUUAAGUUAACUUAAAACUAUUAACCUUCAAAGUUAAAAUUAAAUUUAAAUUUAAACCUUA
rnacentral:tRNA from 1 species